rnacentral:rRNA from 1 species
UUGAACUGAAGAGUUUGAUCCUGGCUCAGAUUGAACGCUGGCGGCAUGCCUUACACAUGCAAGUCGAACGGCAGCACGGGCUUCGGCCUGGUGGCGAGUGGCGAACGGGUGAGUAAUACAUCGGAACAUGUCCUGUAGUGGGGGAUAGCCCGGCGAAAGCCGGAUUAAUA